rnacentral:rRNA from 1 species
UACGGAGGGGGCUAGCGUUGUUCGGAAUUACUGGGCGUAAAGCGCACGUAGGCGGCUUUGUAAGUUAGAGGUGAAAGCCCGGGGCUCAACCCCGGAACUGCCUUUAAGACUGCAUCGCUUGAAUCCAGGAGAGGUGAGUGGAAUUCCGAGUGUAGAGGUGAAAUUCGUAGAUAUUCGGAAGAACACCAGUGGCGAAGGCGGCCUUCUGGACCAAUACUGACGCUCAUGCACGAAAGCGUGGGGAGCAAACAGG